GCACUUCUAAAGCAAGUCUAUAUUGUACAAUUUAGACUUGAGGUUAAAAGAGGUUUCCAAUGGCAUCUGCAUCAACGACUAAAAAAUACAAGUCAUACAACAAACAGAACCUAACUGAUCUAAUAUGAAAGCACUAGUUGUUGUAUUGAGAGGCCGAGAAUAAUCUCAUAUAAAGGCAUCCAUAAUAUGAUCGGUACAUAGCAGUGAUAUUAGCAGCAAAAUUGACUUCUCUUAAAAUAUAGUUAAAACUGAGUUUGCAAGUUAGCUCAUUCUUUAUUGGUUAAUUAAACGAAAUUGUUUGAAAACAAUUUUCCAGCGAUUUCAUUGAAUGCUUUCGAUCAAAGAAAGUAUGGGAGUUAUUAAAAGCUUCAAUAGUUGAAUGUAAAUUGUACCUGGUUAGGAGGGGGUUGGUUGAGAAUUUCUUAUUUUUUUCCACUUCAAUAAAAAAAUCAUGUGAAAUUCUCUUUGUAUCAGAAAAAUGAAAAAACAUAAACAAAAAAUAAUAGUGACUUGGACCUCAACAACAGCACUUAAUAGCAUUGUGUGUGACAUGAUAACCCACUAAAACCUUAUCAAAUCAAUUCCUAAUUUUACAAGGACUGAAAUUUAAGGGGAACUAUAAGAAAAUUAUGAGAAAAAAGAAGAAGAAGGGUGUUUAAGUCAUUUCGUAAAACAUAAAAAAGUAUUUAAAUUCAAAAAAAGCCAGAAAAGAAAAUGGGUGAAUCAACCAAAGCCUGGAACAGUUGUCUCCGAGUUGCUUCGUCAAUCUUCAUGAGGUAGUGUGUUUGCGCUUAGAAAUCUUAAGCCCAAAGGCAAACAAACUCAGAGGGAUGCUGAGCUGAGCUGAAUGAAAUGCGCGUCAAAGAAGUGGCGUCGACACAAGGCACAGUGACCAAAACGACACGUUUUUAGAGGCCAACAAGGUGGGGUGCCCGAUCAUUGUUCCAACUCCCCCACAAUGUUUUGGAGCUUAUUUUUACAUUUUAUGUGAUGCUUUAAAUAUUCAUUUUAUGCUAAUUUCACCUUGCUUUCGCGUUUGUAGUGUUUCAUCUUUUCUUUUAUUUUUGGGACAAUUUAGUGUUGCAUCCAUCUUUCCGUCUAAACGAGAACAUGUGGUUGGAUCAA